rnacentral:rRNA from 1 species
AUUGAACGCUGGCGGCAGGCCUAACACACGCAAGUCGAACGGUAGCACAGAGAGCUUGCUCUCGGGUGACGAGUGGCGGACGGGUGAGUAAUGUCUGGGAAACUGCCCGAUGGAGGGGGAUAACUACUGGAAACGGUAGCUAAUACCGCAUAACGUCGCAAGACCAAAGUAGGGGACCUUCGGGCCUCACACCAUCGGAUGUGCCCAGAUGGGAUUAGCUAGUAGGUGGGGUAAUGGCUCACCUAGGCGACGAUCCCUAGCUGGUCUGAGAGGAUGACCAGCCACACUGGAACUGAGACACGGUCCAGACUCCUACGGGAGGCAGCAGUGGGGAAUAUUGCACAAUGGGCGCAAGCCUGAUGCAGCCAUGCCGCGUGUAUGAAGAAGGCCUUCGGGUUGUAAAGUACUUUCAGCGGGGAGGAAGGCGGUGAAGUUAAUAGCUUCACCGAUUGACGUUACCCGCAGAAGAAGCACCGGCUAACUCCGUGCCAGCCGCCGCUGUAA